rnacentral:rRNA from 1 species
GAUGAACGCUAGCGGCAGGCCUAAUACAUGCAAGUCAAGGGGCCCUUUCGGGGGCACCGGCGGACGGGUGCGCAACGCGUACACAACGUGCCUUUGACCGGGGGACAGCGGCGGGAAACUGCCGGUAAUACCCCAUGGAGCCGCAGGGGGGCGAUUUCUCUGCGGCCAAAGUUGCGGCGGUCAGAGAUCGGUGUGCGUCCGAUUAGCUUGUUGGCGGGGUAACGGCCCACCAAGGCGACGAUCGGUAGGGGGGUGAGAGCACGGCCCCCACCA